rnacentral:rRNA from 1 species
UACGUAGGGGGCAAGCGUUGUCCGGAAUCAUUGGGCGUAAAGCGCGUGUAGGCGGUUCGAUAAGUCUGCUGUGAAAGUCCAGGGCUCAACCCUGGGAUGCCGGUGGAUACUGUCGAGCUAGAGUACGGAAGAGGCGAGUGGAAUUCCCGGUGUAGCGGUGAAAUGCGCAGAUAUCGGGAGGAACACCAAUUGCGAAGGCAGCUUGCUGGGACGGUACUGACGCUGAGACGCGAAAGCGUGGGGAGCGAACAGG